rnacentral:rRNA from 1 species
CCUACGGGAGGCAGCAGUGGGGAAUAUUGGACAAUGGGCGCAAGCCUGAUCCAGCCAUACCGCGUGUGUGAAGAAGGCCUUUUGGUUGUAAAGCACUUUAAGCGAGGAGGAGGCUCUUGAGGAUAAUACCCUUGAUGAGUGGACGUUACUCGCAGAAUAAGCACCGGCUAACUCUGUGCCAGCAGCCGCGGUAAUACAGAGGGUGCGAGCGUUAAUCGGAAUUACUGGGCGUAAAGCGCGCGUAGGCGGCUUGUUAAGUCGGAUGUGAAAUCCCCGGGCUCAACCUGGGCACUGCAUUCGAUACUGGCAAGCUAGAGUAUGGGAGAGGAAGGUAGAAUUCCAGGUGUAGCGGUGAAAUGCGUAGAGAUCUGGAGGAAUACCGAUGGCGAAGGCAGCCUUCUGGCCUAAUACUGACGCUGAGUGNGAGANAUGGAGCAACAGAUAGAUACCUACGUAGUCAUGCGUAACGAUGUCACUAGCGUCGGGUACGUGUAGUCUUAGUUGG